rnacentral:rRNA from 1 species
GGUUCAGAGACUAAGCGAAAGUGAUAAGUUAGCCACCUGGGGAGUACGACCGCAAGGUUGAAACUCAAAGGAAUUGACGGGGGCCCGCACAAGCGGUGGAUCAUGUGGUUUAAUUCGAUGAUACGCGAGGAACCUUACCAAGGCUUAAAUGGGAAUUGACAGCUGUAGAAAUACGGUUUUCUUCGGACAAUUUUCAAGGUGCUGCAUGGUUGUCGUCAGCUCGUGCCGUGAGGUGUUAGGUUAAGUCCUGCAACGAGCGCAACCCCUGUCACUAGUUGCCAUCAUUAAGUUGGGGACUCUAGUGAGACUGCCUACGCAAGUAGAGAGGAAGGUGGGGAUGACGUCAAAUCAUCACGGCCCUUACGCCUUGGGCCACACACGUGAUACAAUGGCCGGUACAGAGGGCAGCUACACUGCGAAGUGAUGCAAAUCUCGAAAGCCGGUCUCAGUUCGGAUUGGAGUCUGCAACUCGACUCUAUGAAGCUGGAAUCGCUAGUAAUCGCGCAUCAGCCAUGGCGCGGUGAAUACGUUCCCGGGCCUUGUACACACCGCCCGUCAAGCCAUGGAAGCUGGGGGUACCUGAAGUCGGUGACCGUAACAGGAGCUGCCUAGGGUAAAACUAGUAACUAGGGCUAAGUCGUAACAAGGUAGCCGUACCGGAAGGUGCGGCUGGAACAUCUCAUUUUAGA